ensembl:lncRNA
AAAAGUGUUUCAACUCAUUUUUGGAAUAAAAUCAGCUGUAGUCUAAAUGCUGCUCUAGUCCUAAGACAUUUUAAAAUCAAGAACUGAAAGGAUCAAACUGUUUCCAAGUAACUUAGCUACAUAUCAGAACAAAGCUCAAAAAUAUUUACAGUAAUACAAAAAUACCCAACCACCCAAAGAUAAAAUUCAAAGUAUAUGGCAUUGAAGCCAAAUUACCAGACAUCAAAGAAGAAGGAAAAUAUGAAUCACAAUGGGGAGAAAGAGUCAAUUAACCAAAACAACCUGGGACUGACACAGCUGUUAGAAUUGGCAAUUAAGGACAUUAAAACAGUUAUUAAAUUAUAUUCCCUAUGUUCAAAAACCAGUGGAAAUAUUGAACAAGUAUAGACAUGGAAGUUAGAAAAUAGACUCAAAUAGAACUUCUAGAGAUGAAAACUACAAUGCCUGAGAUGAAAAAUACACCAGAUGGAAUUAUCUGCAGAUUAGACAUCACAGAAGAAAAUGUAAUAAAGCUGAAGACAUAACAGUAGACUUAAUCUAAAAUGAAACGUAUACAUAAAAAAGAAAAAAAAUUGAUCAGGGGAUUAUUGAGCUGAUGGACAACUUCAAGAUGUAUAAAAUAUAUACAAAAACAGAAGAGAGAAAAGGAGAAUAGAAAAAAGAAAUACUGAUUGAAAUCUGAUAACGUGAGCUGCCACCACAGCGUGACCACUAAGAGAUGAGCGGUGUAGGUCCACACCCAGGAACUGGACCUGGGCUGCAGAAGCGGAGCGUGCCGAACUUAACCACUAGGCCACCGGGGCUUGCCCUAUUCAGAUACCUGUUGACGACACAAAGACAGACACGCAUGGAGGGAAGACGCUGUGAAGAUAUAGGGCAAACACAUCUACAAGCCAAGGAAUGCCUGAAGCUACCUGUAGCUAGGAGAGAGGCAUGGAGCAGCUUCUCCCUCACAGCCCUCAGGAGGAACGAAUGCUGCUGACACCUUGAUUUCAUACUUCCAGCCUCCAGAACAGUGAGACAAUAAAUUUCCAUUGUUUAAGUCACCCAGCUUGUAGUUCUUUGUUCUGGCAGCCCCAGGAAACUAAUACCCUCUAUCGGGUUGAGAAGUUCUUUUAUAUCCCCACUUUUCUGCAAGAUUUGUCAAGAAUGGAUGUUGGAAUUUGGCAAAUGCUUAUUCCCUAUCUAUUAAGUUGAGCAUAUGGUUUUCUUUAUAUUUUGACAAUCUGUUUAAUUGUAUUAACUGAUUUUUAAAUGUUAACCCAACACCGUAUUCCUAGGGUAAAUGUCACUUGGUCAUGAUGUAUUUUCCGUUUUAUGUAUUAUUGAAAUAAAUUUGCCAAAAUUGUGUUUACUAGGUAUGUGGUAUGUUGCAUAAUUCUGAAUUAGCUCAACAUUUUUAUAAGAACUGCAGGAGAUAAGUUGCUAAUUCAGAAAUUUGUUUGUAUGGCUGAAAUGUUAUUAAUGUCUGUGCAUGUGUCAGCAUCUAUAUGCUUGUAGAAAGGAUUGGCAGGUGUGCAGGUCUGGCAGUGCUAUCCCUGUCCGUAACACAGUCUGACCCCUGG